rfam:Dictyocaulus viviparus strain HannoverDv2000 D_viviparus-1.0_Cont623.3, whole genome shotgun sequence.
GCCUCGGUAGUGUAAUGGAUCAGCACGGCAGACCGGAUAUCUGUAAGUGCGGGUUCGAGUCACCCCUGAGGUC